rnacentral:rRNA from 1 species
AUGAACGCUGGCGGCGUGCUUAACACAUGCAAGUCGAACGAUGAAGCCCAGCUUGCUGGGUGGAUUAGUGGCGAACGGGUGAGUAACACGUGAGUAACCUGCCCCUGACUCUGGGAUAAGCCCGGGAAACUGGGUCUAAUACUGGAUAUGACCUGUCACCGCAUGGUGGUGGGUGGAAAGAUUUUUUGGUUGGGGAUGGACUCGCGGCCUAUCAGCUUGUUGGUGAGGUAGUGGCUCACCAAGGCGACGACGGGUAGCCGGCCUGAGAGGGUGACCGGCCACACUGGGACUGAGACACGGCCCAGACUCCUACGGGAGGCAGCAGUGGGGAAUAUUGCACAAUGGGCGCAAGCCUGAUGCAGCGACGCCGCGUGAGGGAUGACGGCCUUCGGGUUGUAAACCUCUUUCAGUAGGGGAAGAAGCCCUUUUGGGUGACGGUACCUGCAAAAUAAGCGCCGGCUAACUACCUGCCAGCAGCCCGCGGUAAUACGUAGGGCGCAAGCUUUAUCCGGAUUUAUUGGGCGUAAGAGUCUCGUAAGCUGUUUGUCGCGUCUGGCCGUGAAAGUCCGGGGCUUAACUCUGGAUCUGCGGUGGGUACGGGCAGACUAGAGUGCAGUAGGGGAGACUGGAAUUCCUUGGUGUAGCGGUGAAAUGCGCAGAUAUCAGGAGGAACACCGAUGGCGAAGGCAGGUCUCUGGGCUGUAACUGACGCUGAGGAGCGAAAGCAUGGGGAGCGAACAGGAUUAGAUACCCUGGUAGUCCAUGCCGUAAACGUUGGGCACUAGGUGUGGGGGACAUUCCACGUUUUCCGCGCCGUAGCUAACGCAUUAAGUGCCCCGCCUGGGGAGUACGGCCGCAAGGCUAAAACUCAAAGGAAUUGACGGGGGCCCGCACAAGCGGCGGAGCAUGCGGAUUAAUUCGAUGCAACGCGAAGAACCUUACCAAGGCUUGACAUGGACUGGAUCGCCGCAGAGAUGUGGUUUCCCUUCGGGGCUGGUUCACAGGUGGUGCAUGGUUGUCGUCAGCUCGUGUCGUGAGAUGUUGGGUUAAGUCCCGCAACGAGCGCAACCCUCGUUCCAUGUUGCCAGCGGGUUAUGCCGGGGACUCAUGGGAGACUGCCGGGGUCAACUCGGAGGAAGGUGAGGACGACGUCAAAUCAUCAUGCCCCUUAUGUCUUGGGCUUCACGCAUGCUACAAUGGCCGGUACAAAGGGUUGCGAUACUGUGAGGUGGAGCUAAUCCCAAAAAGCCGGUCUCAGUUCGGAUUGGGGUCUGCAACUCGACCCCAUGAAGUCGGAGUCGCUAGUAAUCGCAGAUCAGCAACGCUGCGGUGAAUACGUUCCCGGGCCUUGUACACACCGCC